AUACCUUCUCGGCUUUUUGGCUAAGAUCAAGUGUAGUAUCUGUUCUUAUCAGUGUGAAAACUGGUAUCCACUCUACUGAGUGGCGUUUUUCACAUUAAUUUCUUGACGGGAGCGAGGCCUUUCCAGCUUGCUGGGAACCUUGCAAUGGGUCGCCCUUGUAUUGCACUUACCUCAAGUGGCGGCCUACCCUCC
rnacentral:snRNA from 1 species